rnacentral:rRNA from 1 species
GCGAACGCUGGCGGCAGGCUUAACACAUGCCAGUCGAGCGGGCCCUUCGGGGUCAGCGGCAGACGGGUGAGUAACACGUGGGAACGUACCCUUUGGUUCGGAAUAACGCUGGGAAACUAGCGCUAAUACCGGAUACGCCCUUUUGGGGAAAGGCUUGCUGCCGAAGGAUCGGCCCGCGUCUGAUUAGCUAGUUGGUGGGGUAAUGGCCUACCAAGGCGACGAUCAGUAGCUGGUCUGAGAGGAUGAUCAGCCACACUGGGACUGAGACACGGCCCAGACUCCUACGGGAGGCAGCAGUGGGGAAUAUUGGACAAUGGGCGCAAGCCUGAUCCAGCCAUGCCGCGUGAGUGAUGAAGGCCUUAGGGUUGUAAAGCUCUCUUGUCCGGGACGAUAAUGACGGUACCGGAAGAAUAAGCCCCGGCUAACUUCGUG